GAAGUGACAGAGUUUUUUACGCCGUCCAAAGGAUGUUGUUUUCGCGUUUACUUUGACUACGCUACAUGUGACAAGGAUGCAUCAUUCCAUCAUUAUUUCAGGUGCAAAACAUGCAGUUGAGCGCUGCACGACCUGCUGCAGACUCUAUCACUGUCCUCUUUGCCCUAAAUUCAAACCAACCCAACCAUCCAGAGUCAAGCUUCAUCUGGAGGUCCAUUUGAAAAAUGCAAUAACGUUUAAAGAUAAGAAAAUCUGCAGGUGCAAUUUAAACUGCAGGGAUGGGGGACACUAUCAUUGCCCUGUUUGUGACAAAACCAUAAUCAGAAGAAAAGACAUGGGGGUACACCUGGAUGCUUGUCAAGGUGCCACACAACAGUCGGCUCAGCUGCCACAGCAAAGCAACAGCUCUCUCCUUCGUCCUGCAACCACAGCCUCCCCCUCUCCAGAACUGACUGAUCCUCCUCCCCAACAGGAUGCAGUCACACUUGCUGUUCCCUCUGCACAGUUAAUUCAGACAUCUGCCAUCCAGUCCUCAGCAGAUACACAUGCCACUGGUUUUAAACACGAUUCUACCACAACUGUAUCUUCCUCUGCGCUGGAUUCAAGUUCUACUGCCAUGUCCUCUUCUGUUGUCCCCACUACCCAGGAGACUAAAUCUUCAAGAGUAAUUCAGAAUAAGAAAUCAUGUCCUAAUAGGGUUGGGGUAUAUUAUUCUAUUAAUUAUUAUUAUUAUUGAUUAUUAUUAUUAUUUUAUUAUCAACAUCAUUAAUUAUUAUUGUAUCAAUAUAUAAGGUUACAUUUGAGUUUAUGGAGUUGGAAGCCCGAAUAUAUACAAUAAAACCUGAGAAUAUGGAAUGGAACUGAAAAAUAUACUUACUAUAGCUAAUACUUUUGUGUUUUUACUCAAGAUUUUUAAUGUAGUACUUUUUUAAAUAACUUUUUUAAUAAACAUUUUUGCUCAAGCAAACACAUACAAAUGGACGGACGGUUGUCAUAUACAGAUGCUGAAAGUUUUAAUAAGAGAGAAAAAUGUGUGAAAUAAAAAGUAUCUCUGGUU